GGGUUGUGAGGUUAAGCGACUAAGCGUACACGGUGGAUGCCCUGGCAGUCAGAGGCGAUGAAGGACGUGCUAAUCUGCGAAAAGCGUCGGUAAGGUGAUAUGAACCGUUAUAACCGGCGAUGUCCGAAUGGGGAAACCCAGUGCAAUUCGUUGCACUAUCGUUAACUGAAUACAUAGGUUAACGAGGCGAACCGGGGGAACUGAAACAUCUAAGUACCCCGAGGAAAAGAAAUCAACCGAGAUUCCCCCAGUAGCGGCGAGCGAACGGGGAGCAGCCCAGAGUCUGAAUCAGCUUGUGUGUUAGUGGAACGGUCUGGAAAGUCCGACGGUACAGGGUGAUAGUCCCGUACACCAAAAUGCACAGGCUGUGAACUCGAAGAGUAGGGCGGGACACGUGGUAUCCUGUCUGAAUAUGGGGGGACCAUCCUCCAAGGCUAAAUACUCCUGACUGACCGAUAGUGAACCAGUACCGUGAGGGAAAGGCGAAAAGAACCCCGGCGAGGGGAGUGAAAAAGAACCUGAAACCGUGUACGUACAAGCAGUGGGAGCACCUUCGGGUGUGACUGCGUACCUUUUGUAUAAUGGGUCAGCGACUUAUAUUCUGUAGCAAGGUUAACCGUAUAGGGGAGCCGCAGGGAAACCGAGUCUUAACUGGGCGUUAAGUUGCAGGGUAUAGACCCGAAACCCGGUGAUCUAGCCAUGGGCAGGUUGAAGGUUGGGUAACACUAACUGGAGGACCGAACCGACUAAUGUUGAAAAAUUAGCGGAUGACUUGUGGCUG
rnacentral:rRNA from 1 species